rnacentral:misc_RNA from 1 species
GUUAAAGUGUUUGUUGUGGUGAGUAUUUUUAAACGAUUAUUCAUUCGUAGGCUCUUGCGAAAAUAUUUCAACACAAUUGCACGUGCAUUACGCCUAUCUUUGUUAUGAUAAUGGUAAAGCUACUACGUACAAGUCUAUCUGCAGCUAGUUAGCGAUGAGAAAAAAUGGUAUAGCGUACAUGUGCCGCGUACAUAUUUGUUACUGCAUAGUAAGUCGUGGCCGUCACACGGCAGACAAAUAAACAGUAAUAGUUACGGUACAAUAUUUCUACAGUAAGUAUAAUAUGUAUGCAUGUUAUAACAAUGGUUUAUAUUCAGGAUAUUUAAUACGGGAGCAGUAUGCGCGAACACGUGUGUUCCAACAUGCGUGCAUUUUGAAAGAAGAUAUACUACUUGAUAAAGAUGGUAACGAAAACGCUGCAGUCUGGUUUGAAUGGGAGGGUCGAAAAGGUCUCGAAACCAUUAUUUGCGUUCAAGACGUCAGGGAGGGUUUUCGGAAAUGGAAGUGACUGCGAGAUGACCAAUGAUGGUACCGUAAUCCGUCAACAGGAGAGGAAAAAAACGUCAACGCCAAACGCUUGUACCCACAGCAGUAACGUACGCCGUCAAACAUUUCACUUCAGACAUUUUUGAACGUGAAAAGGAAAUGAACGGAAACUAUUCGAAUUCGUUGGACACGCGUGCGACCGCUUUUACGCACACCGGUAAAAUCGGAACCGACUCCGAUGCCGGAUGCAAUGUAAUUGAGUUAGUGCUAUCACACGUAGACCAAACCGAUAAAUUCAUCGGUCCGAUAGACGGCUCCGGUAUAUGCGGUCGGCGUUGAAUUCGAUAAUUCGAGUGCCGGACCGAUCCCCGGACUUGUCAAUUUCCAUGUGUUGCGGUAUGUGCCGGGGUGGAUUAUCACGAAUCUCACAACGCCAGUUAAAAUAACUGAAAUUUGUGUAAAAAUACACAAAUAAAGUCUUUAAUAAAUAAGUUUAAAACAAUUUUAAUACUCUUUAUGAUGGAAUUAAUUUUCUUCGUCUUCUUUUCCUACAAUUAAAAAAAAUUAGUAUUAUAAACAUGUAAAAAUAAUUGCAUGUUUACAUGCAAAGUUGGACUGUAAACCUAAUUAGACAUUUUCUGUUUUUAAUAAAUUUAAAUGCGAUUGUUGAUCAGCAUAUUUUAAUAAAUUGAAAACAAACGUUCCACGUCUACUAACGUUAUUGGCGCAUAGUUACUUAAAACGUACUAAGUCAUUUCAUUUCAAUAUUUCAUGUAAAACUUCCAAACUUUUUUGGUAUCCAGAUUUGUAACUCUUAUUUUUCUCCAACAUAGUUUCAAUUUAAGUUAUUACCGUUUUUCAAUGCACUUUACUCAAUAGGUACUUAGUAGUUUAUUGCUAAUAAAUAA